rnacentral:rRNA from 1 species
UACGGAGGAUGCGAGCGUUAUCCGGAUUUAUUGGGUUUAAAGGGUGCGUAGGCGGACGCUUAAGUCAGCGGUAAAAUUGCGGGGCUCAACCUCGUCGAGCCGUUGAAACUGGGUGUCUUGAGUGGGCGAGAAGUACGCGGAAUGCGUGGUGUAGCGGUGAAAUGCAUAGAUAUCACGCAGAACUCCGAUUGCGAAGGCAGCGUACCGGCGCCCAACUGACGCUGAAGCACGAAGGCGUGGGUAUCGAGCAGG